UACAGAGGAGCCAAGCGUUGUCCGGAUUGACUGGGCGUAAAGCGCACGCAGGCGGCACCGCGCGUGGGGUGUGAAAUCUGGCCGCUUAACGGCCAGGCGCCAUCCCAUACGGCGGAGCUGGAGUGAUGCAGAGGUCGAUGGAAUUGCCGGUGUAGUGGUGAAAUGCGUAGAGAUCGGCAGGAACACCCAGGGGGAAACCAGUGGACUGGGGCAGUGAGCUGACGCUCAGGUGCGAAAGCGGUGGGGAGCGAACCGG
rnacentral:rRNA from 1 species